rnacentral:rRNA from 1 species
AGAGCAAGAGCCCGGAGACGGUAUCUGAGACAAGAUACCGGGCCCUACGGGGCGCAGCAGGCGCGAAACCUUUACACUGCACGAAAGUGCGAUAAGGGGACUCCAAGUGCGAGGGCAUAUAGUCCUCGCUUUUUGCGACCGUAAGGUGGUCGCGGAAUAAGUGCUGGGCAAGACCGGUGCCAGCCGCCGCGGUAAUACCGGCAGCACGAGUGAUGACCGCUAUUAUUGGGCCUAAAGCGUCCGUAGCUGGCCAUGCAAGUCCAUCGGGAAAUCCGCGCGCUUAACGCGCGGGCGUCCGGUGGAAACUGCAUGGCUUGGGACCGGAAGACCAGAGGGGUACGUCCGGGGUAGGAGUGAAAUCCCGUAAUCCUGGACGGACCACCGGUGGCGAAAGCGCCUCUGGAAGACGGAUCCGACGGUGAGGGACGAAAGCUCGGGUCACGAACCGGAUUAGAUACCCGGGUAGUCCGAGCUGUAAACGAUGUCUGCUAGGUGUGGCACAGGCUACGAGCCUGUGCUGUGCCGCAGGGAAAGCCGUGAAGCAGACCGCCUGGGAAGUACGUCCGCAAGGAUGAAACUUAAAGGAAUUGGCGGGGGGAG